UUCCUCAGAGCAGCUUCCCUGGGAACACUGCUCCGCCCUCAAGAUGGCGGCCAGGUGGAACUUUCCACGGAGAGCGUGGGUCAGCCUCUCCACAGGAUUUGGUUUGGAACCUGAGCUAAGUCGCCCCGCUAGGCCCACAAGCAGCCUGCCGGUUCUCCGCAGCAGGAUAUGGCGGAGAGGCAGAGGUUGCUAACACUGUGUGCGGGGCGCGCCCCGCAGCUCCCUGGAUGCAACAAGGAGCACAAUGACGUCUCUUCUUUCAAUGGAAAUUAUUCUUCAAGGAAUUUCCAUUUUUCAACAUUAUUUCUCCACAUGUUUCCUGGCUUCUCUUCAGAGCUCCUGACAUUCAUGUUGCUAGAUUCCUCCUGACCAGGUAAAAA